AAAGGCAUAGCUCAGUGGUAGAGCACAUGCCUAGCAUGCACAAGGUCCUGGGUUCAGUCCCCAGCACCUCCA
rnacentral:tRNA from 1 species